rnacentral:rRNA from 1 species
GACGAACGCUGGCGGCGUGCUUAACACAUGCAAGUCGAACGGAGAGGCCCUGCUUUUGUGUGUUGCUCGAGUGGCGAACGGGUGAGUAACACGUGAGUAACCUGCCCUUGACUUUGGGAUAACUUCUGGAAACUGGGGCUAAUACCGGAUAGGAGCUCCUGCUGCAUGGUGGGGGUUGGAAAGGUUCGGCGGUUGGGGAUGGACUCGCGGCUCAUCAGCUUGUUGGUGGGGUAGUGGCUUACCAAGGCGUUGACGGGUAGCCGGCCUGAGAGGGUGACCGGCCACAUUGGGACUGAGAUACGGCCCAGACUCCUACGGGAGGCAGCAGUGGGGAAUAUUGCACAAUGGGCGGAAGCCUGAUGCAGCAACGCCGCGUGCGGGAUGACGGCCUUCGGGUUGUAAACCGCUUUCGCCUGUGACGAAGCGUGAGUGACGGUAAUGGGUAAAGAAGCACCGGCUAACUACGUG